rnacentral:rRNA from 1 species
UACGAAGGGGGCUAGCGUUGUUCGGAUUUACUGGGCGUAAAGGGCGCGUAGGCGGAUUUUUAAGUCAGGGGUGAAAUCCCAAGGCUCAACCUUGGAACUGCCUUUGAUACUGGGAAUCUUGAGUCCGGGAGAGGUGAGUGGAACUGCGAGUGUAGAGGUGAAAUUCGUAGAUAUUCGCAAGAACACCAGUGGCGAAGGCGGCUCACUGGCCCGGAACUGACGCUGAGGCGCGAAAGCGUGGGGAGCGAACAGG